rnacentral:rRNA from 1 species
UGAUCAUGGCUCAGAACGUACGCUGGCGGCACGCCUAACACAUGCAAGUCGAACGAAGUAGCAAUACUUAGUGGCAGACGGGUGAGUAACAUGUAGGUAUCUUCCCUUUGGUGAGGAAUAACACGAGGAAACUUGUGCUAAUACCUCAUAAGUCUUUACGGAGAAAGCUUUAUGCGCCAAUGGAUGAGCCUGCACUUGAUUAGUUUGUUGGUGGGGUAAUGGCCUACCAAGACUUUGAUCAAUAGCUGAUUUGAGAGGAUGAUCAGCCACAUUGGGACUGAGACACGGCCCAAACUCCUACGGGAGGCAGCAGUAGGGAAUCUUGCACAAUGGGGGAAACCCUGAUGCAGCGAUGCCGCGUGAGUGAAGAAGGCCCUUGGGUUGUAAAACUCUUUCGUCGGGGAAGAAAAUGACUGUACCCGAAUAAGAAGGUCCGGCUAACUUCGUGCCAGCAGCCGCGGUAAUACGAAGGGACCUAGCGUAGUUCGGAAUUACUGGGCUUAAAGAGUUCGUAGGUGGUUGAAAAAGUUGGUGGUGAAAUCCCAGAGCUUAACUCUGGAACUGCCAUCAAAACUUUUCAGCUAGAGUAUGAUAGAGGAAAGCAGAAUUUCUAGUGUAGAGGUGAAAUUCGUAGAUAUUAGAAAGAAUACCAAUUGCGAAGGCAGCUUUCUGGAUCAUUACUGACACUGAGGAACGAAAGCAUGGGUAGCGAAGAGGAUUAGAUACCCUCGUAGUCCAUGCCGUAAACGAUGUGUGUUAGACGUUGGAAAUUUAUUUUCAGUGUCGCAGCGAAAGCGAUAAACACACCGCCUGGGGAGUACGACCGCAAGGUUAAAACUCAAAUGAAUUGACGGGGACCCGCACAAGCGGUGGAGCAUGUGGUUUAAUUCGA